CCCAAGUUCCUGUCACAUAGUUCCCGGGCUGAUUGCUAACCUUGCCGUGGAAUCUGGGGAACUCGGGGUUUCCUUGGCAGCCAUGGCAGCCACUGUUGGUGUCCUGGUACAGCUCUGGCCUGCCUGUUAGCUUUCUCUGUGAUGGUUGCUCCCCUGCUUGGACCUUGACAAGGACAAGGGAAUUGUACCCACCACAGCUCAGCGAUCAGUGUGGGUGGAUUAGAAAUCAACUGGAGCCCGGGAGCCAGUUCUUGGGUGCAGUAGAAUUGUUCCUCUGUGUGCCGGGAAUAUGACCCACAUGUGGCACUAGGUGACGACCAAGCAGAGGCAUGAGUCAGAAUGAAAGCAAAAAGAAGGUACUAUCCAUCCUCAACGCCCCCACCCCCAAGAUGGGAAAACUCUAAAAAGGACUUUGAAAAAUCUCCUGGACAUGCCACAAUCCAAGGCAAUCUUCUGUCUCUCAUCCCUGUUGGAAGUAAUUCUCUCCUUCCUUUCUCUUACAGCAUUGGUCAUUGUAUCCCCUACUGGUAUUUAUGAACAUGGCUAAUCUCUGUAUAAGUGAAUCCUAAAAGCAAAAUCCUUAUGUUACUCAUUAUUGAAUAAAAGAUCCUCACUAUUAGGUAAAAAGUCUUGUGGGCAAGAGCCUUAU